rnacentral:lncRNA from 1 species
CUUUGUUAUAUGUUAAGGUUAAUUGUGUAUGUUCUAUAUUAGAUGGUUUUACUUUUUCUAACCAUUUUAUUCCUAAUAUUAUAUCUUCUUUUUGCAUUUCUUCCUUUACUUCGAAUUCUAUUUUUAUUUUUCUAACUCCUAUUAUUAUUUCUUUUUCUGCUAUAUUUUUAUUAUUUAUUAAACUUCUUGGUAAGUCUGGGCAUAUAUUAUUGUCGGUUUUUAUUUCUUCAUUUUUUACUAGAUAUUUUGCUAUAUAAUUUUCUUCUUGUCCUGU